ACGUAUGAAGUAGAAUUAAUAGGAUGAAAAAGCUUGGGUUCGAAUUUCGGAACCGAUUUCGUUAAAUAACAUCGUAUACAAAUGAAAUUGGCUGUGUAUCUCUCUUAAUGAGGUUUACAAAUUGUAAAUUACAAUCAUUAUUUCAGUAGAAAAAAGAGAACGAAACCCUAGCCCUAAUCUGGGUGGCGAAAUUCGCGACUAUGUGUUGGUGAAUGUUGUUCGGCUGACAAAGGAUGUUUCUGUUGCGCGUUGUUGCAACGGUUGUGCCCGAGAAUCAUGAUAAGGAAGUGGCUCAAUCGACUCUUGAUUUGAAUACGAUUUGUGCACAACUACAACCACAAGAGACGGUUGCACUCCGUUAAAUUCCGACAUCAAAUUGGCUGACCAAUGGGUAGGAACAAGAAGCUACAUAUCAUUUCUACAGUCUCCAAUGAGGCUGUUGAAGACUAUGAGGCAUCUGAAACUCAAGUUUACAAGAAUUGCAAGGUGGUCUAUCAAGUUCUCAAGGAUUUCAGUUUACAAGAUUACUACAGUUACUAGAGAAGCACUGCUGUUAUCACGAAACUGUACAGCCAAUCCUUUAUCUAGCAUUUUAAAGGACCAAAGAAACUUUUCAAAGGCCGGGCAAGUAUCUUAGAGCCUCUAGUUCUUUAUUUUUAAUAUUGUUGAUUUUUUGGCGCUUUUGAUAUCGAGUUAAGCUUAUCGAGUUAGGCUCUAGUUUUUUUGGCGCUUUUGACAUCAGCCGGGCUACUUGGCGUUUUUUUGUGGCAUAGACGGGCUAAUAAUAAGCAUCUUCCAUACAUGCUUUGCUUUCCUUGCAAGGAUCAAUCCCUGAUCUUAGAUAGAUACCGAAUCUCGCUUAUAUGGCAAGAAAGACGUUUAGACAAUUGCAGUCAAGAUGGCAGGGUAGAUAUCACGGGAGCUUUGAAGCUAAGUGUUAGGACAAUGAAAUUCUCACCCAAGAGAACGUUUAGACUCCUUGUAAACAUUUCGAAUAUGGAAUAUGUGACUUAUUACACAAUGUUUUGCUAACAUGUGGAAUAUGUUUUGUAUCAAACUUAUUAUUGAAGUUAUAAUACUAUGAUUUCUACA